rnacentral:rRNA from 1 species
CCUACGGGAGGCAGCAGUGGGGAAUCUUAGACAAUGGGGGAAACCCUGAUCUAGCCAUGCCGCGUGAGUGACGAAGGCCUUAGGGUCGUAAAGCUCUUUCGCUGGGGAAGAUAAUGACUGUACCCAGUAA